UAAAGAAGCUUGCUUCUUUGAUGACGAGUGGCGGACGGGUGAGUAAUGCUUGGGAAUCUAGCUUAUGGAGGGGGAUAACUACGGGAAACUGUAGCUAAUACCGCGUAAUAUCGAAAGAUUAAAGUGUGGGACCUUCGGGCCACAUGCCAUAGGAUGAGCCCAAGUGGGAUUAGGUAGUUGGUGAGGUAAAGGCUCACCAAGCCGACGAUCUCUAGCUGGUCUGAGAGGAUGACCAGCCACACUGGGACUGAGACACGGCCCAGACUCCUACGGGAGGCAGCAGUGGGGAAUAUUGCGCAAUGGGGGCAACCCUGACGCAGCCAUGCCGCGUGAAUGAAGAAGGCCUUCGGGUUGUAAAGUUCUUUCGGUAGCGAGGAAGGCAUUUAGUUUAAUAGACUAGGUGAUUGACGUUAACUACAGAAGAAGCACCGGCUAACUCCGUGCCAGCAGCCGCGGUAAUACGGAGGGUGCGAGCGUUAAUCGGAAUAACUGGGCGUAAAGGGCACGCAGGCGGUGACUUAAGUGAGGUGUGAAAGCCCCGGGCUUAACCUGGGAAUUGCAUUUCAUACUGGGUCGCUAGAGUACUUUAGGGAGGGGUAGAAUUCCACGUGUAGCGGUGAAUGCGUAGAGAUGUGGAGGAAUACCGAAGGCGA
rnacentral:rRNA from 1 species